AUUUAACCCACCUAUGCCUCAGUCUUCUCAUCUGUAAAACAGGGACAGUAACAGCCAACCACCUCAUAGCACUGUGUGAUGAUUAAAUGAUUCAUCACCAUAAAGUGCUUACAACUGUGCCUGGCACGUAGCCAGGGCUCAACAUGUGUCUGACAUUCUGCUAAAUAGCUUUGUUUCUCCACAAUACCAGACAAACAGCAGGACACUCAAAUCAAUUACUAUGGUGCCCACCAUGAUCACUGAUCAGAACUCAGUGUACAGGAGGAGAGCAGAGACAUAUGUAAACAAAUACUCACAUAAAAGAUUCCGAAUGCCCCAACGACCUUUUCAACCCUAAGAUAGCAUUGACUUCCACGGCUAGAGCAAAAGGAAACAGUCCCUUAUUUCCCUGGUGCGUGAUCUCAGCACAUCUUAUGCUGUCAACUCACACCCAGCUGCGGGCCGGUCGGAACCUCGGCCUGCCCUCCUGCAUUUCCCAGGGAUCUCCCCUCACCCAAACAGCACGUCAUACACACAACCCUUCCCCCAAAACGCGCAUCCAGCUCCUUUCUCUGGUCCUUACCGUUAAGUGUCAGCUACUUUUCGCUCGCUUACUCACGUCGUCUCCCGAGAUGGGGUCACUGUCCCCAUUCGACAAAGACACUGAAGCUCACAGAGGAAAAGUGCGCUAGGCUCAAACAAAGCUCUAGUGUCGGAACCGGCUCUUAACACAGUCCACUGACCCGCGCAAACAGUGAGCAGGAAACAGCGAGGGGGCCUGACCACCUCGGCACUCCCACACUCCCACCUUCCCCUCCCCGCCCCCGCGCCAUUUCGGCCUCUCCCCAACACUUCGCGGAACCCGGACCAGACUCUGGCGCAUUACCCCACCAGGCUCGACUUCGGCGCCCCGCCCAGGCCGGGCUCGCGUACCUGAGAUCGCCGCCGCCAUCUCGCGUCGCCUCAGCUGCGCCGUGCCCCCCGCGUCCAUUCCACUCCCUCCGUUGGCCCGCCUCUCCCAUUCGAAUUUCCUGGGGCCCCGCCCUCUGUCCAGGGCUCCACCAAUCACGUCUACUCGCCGCCGGAAGCCCCUGCUGGUGGUUCGCAACUAUCCCGCCCUCUAGGGUUCGCCUCGGGGACCGGCAAGACAAAGUUUCCCAUGGCGGAGGACGCAUGCGCGCAGGCUGGCCACCCAGCAGUGGACGUCGCAGCCCGCGGUCCCGCUCGAACUCUGGCGCCGGAGGCACCGGCGGCGCUGGCCGUCGGACGAGCUGCUGGGCGCGGCUGGGCACUGGACUCCCCGUACCUUCUGGCUUUCGGGUUUCCAAGCAUAGAUUUGCGUGUGCGCUUGUACCCCUGGCCCCCUGUGAAUGCCGCUGGUUUAAAGCCGGUCCUGAAGUUGACCAGAUAGCUGGUCUGUCCGACUCAGCCAUACAAGGCAACAAAGUACUGACACGUGCCACAACAUGGAUGAACCUUGAAAAUACGCUAAAUGGGAGAAGCCAGACAUAAAGGCCACGUUAUUGUAUGAUUCCCUCUACAUGAAAUGUCAGGAAUAGACAAAUCCAUAGAGACAGAAAGUAGAUGGGUGUUUACGAAGGGCUGGGAGAGAGGAGCAGGGAGUCUCUGCUUAAUGGGGAUGAGGUUUCUUUCUGAGCUGAUGACAGUAUCCUGGAAUUAGAGAUGAAGUUUGCACAAUCUGAAUGUACUAAAAACCACUCAAAUAACACACUUUAAAAGGGUGAAUUUUAUGUGCUUUAUAUCUCAAAAAAUAAUAAUAAUAAUUACAGUGAUGUCAUUAUUCCAUUCCAUGGAACUGUUAGAGCCAAAUAAAGAAAAUGUAAAAACAAGCUAGGUAUGAGUU
rnacentral:lncRNA from 1 species